CCUACGGGAGGCAGCAGUGGGGAAUUUUCCGCAAUGGGCGAAAGCCUGACGGAGCAACGCCGCGUGAGGGACGAAGGCCUCUGGGCUGUAAACCUCUUUUCUCAAGGAAGAAGAUAUGACGGUACUUGAGGAAUAAGCCACGGCUAAUUCCGUGCCAGCAGCCGCGGUAAUACGGGAGUGGCAAGCGUUAUCCGGAAUUAUUGGGCGUAAAGCGUCCGCAGGCGGCUUUUCAAGUCUGCUGUUAAAACGUGGAGCUUAACUCCAUCAUGGCAGUGGAAACUGAAAGGCUUGAGUAUGGUAGGGGCAGAGGGAAUUCCCGGUGUAGCGGUGAAAUGCGUAGAUAUCGGGAAGAACACCAGUGGCGAAGGCGCUCUGCUGGGCCAUUACUGACGCUCAUGGACGAAAGCCAGGGGAGCGAAAGGGAUUAGAUACCCCUGUAGUCCUGGCCGUAAACGAUGAACACUAGGCGUCGGGGGAAUCGACCCCUUCGGUGUCGUAGCUAACGCGUUAAGUGUUCCGCCUGGGGAGUACGCACGCAAGUGUGAAACUCAAAGGAAUUGACGG
rnacentral:rRNA from 1 species